GGCGCGGCCCUUCGAAUAUGAGCGGCCGCAGGCCGGGACCGGGCGGCUAGAACUGGAGCUUCGGCAGCGGUGCCAGAGAUGAAGACGGACACGAUUCCCCGGCCAUGGUGAACAGCACAAAGGUUUGUUCUGAUCCCCUCCAUGAUCCGUCCCAGCUCCAGGACUUCAGUGUCUUCAUCAAAAUUAUCCACAAAAUGAGUUAAUGCAAACCCUGCACUCUUCCAGCCACGGGAGCAAGGAGGGGGAGUCUGUGCUGGAGCAGCCGCUGCCAGAGAGGAUCUCCUUCAUCCAUGGUUUCCUGCAGAAGCACUGCAGGUACAAAUUCACUGCAGAGAACAUGGUCUCUGUACAGAAACUCAUGGAGAGGAGAGAGGCCAGGACAAAGUAACUGAAUAUGAUAUUGAAGAAGGCAACCACUGGACUGUUACGGACAGAGGAGGAGACAAUGAUUGUUUGGUUUCUGAGGAAGAAUCAGAUUCAUCAAUCUCAAACCCAGCAGACUCAAACUGGUAAAGAGACCUAUCUUCCCCCUGCCUUUGCCCAAGUCAAGAGAUCCUCCGAAAAAGACUCAGCAAUACUCCGUAACAGACUGGGCAGCAGUAAGAUGCAAAGCAAUAAAAGAAAAAGAUUUUGGUCUAGCUAAAGAGCCACUCUUAGCCAAGCCAGUUAGAGAAGAUGCUAAUCCAAGAUGGGAACUGUUGAAUUAUGAUGAUAUUAAAUAUUUGAAAAGAAGUAAGGGAAAAUGGAUUAGGCUCACUGUAUUUCAAGCAAUUGCUAAAAGGAAUAUAUAGUAAUGUAAAUUUAACACCAUAUGACUGUUGCUAUAUCUCCUCCAUAAUAUUGACAGAAUCACAAUGUAGGGCGUUUGGCUGUCCGUCUCUGCUCCCACACACGCGUAGGAUGGUUCUUUGCACAGCAGCCCUCAAAAGAUGAGUCUGGACUCUAGGUUUUUUGGUCUUCAGAACUGUUUAUUGUUUCUUACCUACAAAGUUCCUUCUCUGCCCGACCUGGAUCUGACCAGCACAGCAGCCAAAGGCACUCUGACCGCCCCUGAGGCGGUUGCAUCUUUUUAUAGCAAAAACUACGUACAUGAUAUGUACUCUUUAUUCCCAAUACUUAUCACCCUCAUCACCACGUGCACCUUCACCCCAGACCAAUCCACAAGUGCCAACAUCACCACAGAAGAUGGACAACAAGAAGAAGAAAGAAGAGCCCUGUGACACACCCUGAUUCCUCCAUCUUGUCUCCAGAACCGCCCCGUACCAAAACCCCAAAAUCUGUGUUUCACCCUAUAAUUGCCGCGCUGCUGCGUCGAGUGCACUUUACUCCCCUGAGAGCAGGGGGGGAGGCGGCGCCGGCUAGCUCGGAGCACAGCAGCAGCUAGCAGCGGGGGGCACUACCCAGAUGCGUCAGGGACGUCUGGGCAGCGCCUUCGACAGGAGCGGCAAAAGCGGAGAAGCUUGAGAGAAAAGAGGGUCUUAACUCUCCUGGUGCAGUCCAGAGGUUUAAUGUCUCAUUGUCUCCAGGGGAUCCAGAGUUCCUUCUCUGCCCGACCUGGAUCUGACCAGCACAGCAGCCAAAGGCACUCUGACCACCCCCGAGGCAGUUGCUUCUUUUUAUAGCAAAAACUACGUACAUGAUAUGUACUCUUUAUUCCCAAUACUUAUCACCCUCGUCACCACAUGCACCUUCACCCCAGACCAAUCCACAAGUGCCAACAUCACCACAGAAGAUGGACAACAAGAAGAAGAAAGAAGAGCCCUGUGACACACCCUGAUUCCUCCAUCUUGUCUCCAUAACUCCCCUGUACCAAAACCCCAAAAUCUGUGUUUCACUCUAUAAUUAUGUCUUCCCUUCACCAUUCACACCCGAGUGACUCUCACAGGUCUCAUGUUCUCAUAGCCAGGUGGCACAUCCUAGAUGGAUCAAAAUCAAGCCACCAAAUGCUUCUGGCAACAUUCCAAGACUCCCGAGCCCCCCAGGGGUUCUCUCUGUAGCUCUGGACAUCAGGAGUGAUGUGCUGAGUUCCCACAACAAUGCAUCUUAUGGGACCUGAAAUGGAGAAAAUUCUUGAAUAGAUUACUUGAAACUUAUGCCAAGGGCCCCUAUGCUGCAUUGACACUGGCAGAUUGGCAGGAGACCCUCCAUAUGACAGGUCUGAAGAUCAAGCAGCAUACCUGCUUAGAGUAGUACUUAAUGAUAUCAGAAAGGCUGCUUGCAAAGCCCUGCUGCUGACUCAGCCAGUGGGAACUCCACAAGGGACUUAUACGGAAUGACAGAAUCACAGAAUUUCUAGGUUGGAAGAGACCUUUGAGAUCAUCGAGUCCAACCCAUGUUCUAACACCUCAACUAGAACAUCGCACCAAGUGCCACAUCCGGUCUUUUCUUAACCACAUAGACGGAUGGUGUCUCCACCACCUCCCUGUGCAGAUGAUUCCAGUAUUUGACCACUCUCUCUGUGAAAAACUUCCUCCUUAAUUCUAGCCUGUAUCUCCCUUGGUGCAGAUUGAGACUGUGUCCUCUUGUUCUGUCUGUUGUUGCCCGGGGAAAGAGACUGACUCCCAGCUCACCACAGCCACCCUUCAGGAAGCUGAAGAGAGUGACAAGGUCACCUCUGAGUCUCCUUUUUUUUCUCCAGGCUGAACAACCCCAGCUCCCUCAGUCGUUCUUCAUACGGUUUGUGUUCCAAGCCCCUCACCAGCCUUGUUGCUCUCCUUUGGACACGCUCAAGCAUUUCAAUGUCCCUCCUAAACUGAGGGGCCCAGAACUGGACGUAAUACUCCAAGUGUGGCCUCCCCAGUGCCGAGUACAGGGGAAGAAUGAUCUCCCUGCUCCUGCUGGCCACACUAUUCCUGAUACUAGCCAGGAUGCCAUUGGCCCUCUUGGCCACCUGGGCACACUGCUGGCUCAUGUUCAGCCGACUGUCAACCAGCACCCCCAGGUCCCUUUCCUCCUGAGCACUGUCCAGCCACAGCGUCCCCAGCCUAUAAUGUUGCAGGGGAUUAUUGCGGCCAAAGAGCAGGAUUUGGCACUUGGACAUAUUGAACUUCAUCCCAUUGGAUUCUGCCCAUCCAUCCAACCGUUCCAGUGUCGCUCGUGCACCGGGGUCAGGGCAGGAACAGAUGAGAGGCAGGAUUGUAGCAAAGGCAAAGAAGCGCUUUAUUCAAACAAACUGCUCAGUUUUUAUAGAGAGGUAUGAUAGAUUCUAUUCUAUUGGCUAACAAACACAAACAUCUUUCUCACGUGCUGUUCUUGAGAGGAACGGAAAAACAAGGUAGAAAAACAGCACCUGCAAGUUGUUUAUGGUCAACAGGUUAUCGCAUCUUUCCAACUCCCUAAAAUCUCUCACAAGCCGCUGUGAGAAAUGCUUACCGUUUCUCUCUCCCUGUCCCAUGGCAUCCACACCCUGCCUGUAUAUGUUGGGCCAUUGUCUGUUUUUAUUUCUUGAGGUACGCCUAAUGAUGCAAAUGCUUGCAAGAAAUGUCGACAAGCGUGAUCUGCUGUUUCCCCUGCAUGUGCUGAAACAAAGACUGCUCCUGAGAAUGUGUCUACUAAAACAUGAACAUUUUUGAGCCUCUCAAAAGAUGGAUAUUUUGUGAUGUCAGUUUGCCACAGUUGAAGACUUUGCAGUCCUCGUGGAUUGACUGCUCCUGUGGAAGCAGGUGGCUGCACAAGCUGACAGUCUGGACAAGCACUAAUGAUUUCCCUUUCCUGAGUGUCCUAGUUCAGGGCAAAUUUGGGAGAGAACCCCCAAAGGGCUUCUCUAGGAAAUCGGAUUCUACAACCACUCCCCCAACCGGUCCGAGAGAAAAUACCUCCAUGGAGAAAAGUGGAAAAAAACUGUUUAUUAAACAAGAAAACCUAAACAAUAUUAAACAAUAAAACCCCUUGCUGCUCCAAAAGAGAUGACAAACCCAGAAAGUCCCCUCCCCAAAUUCCAGUUCAGCUCACUCAGUCCCUCCAGCGCUGGAAAUGCCGUGGCCCAAGCCUGGCCCGGUGGCCACCGAUGCGAGCUGCUGGUGCUCUUAUGGUUGUUCAGUCCAGAGCAGGUGUGAACAGGUCCAAAGAAAGGGGAAAAAAGGAAAAAAACCACAGUCCAGGGAACUUCUUUGCCUCAGCUAGCUAAACUAACUAAAAGCAAAAAAAAAGAGAGCCCUGUCCCGCCGUCUGUUCAUCUGCAGACAACGCAGUCCAGGAGGAGGAAUGUGUAGGAGUGAGUUCAGUGUCUGAAAACAAGCUGCGCGCCUCCUCUCCCCCCCUCAAUCCUUGGAGCAAGUCUUAAAGGUGUAAAACUUACUAUUCAGCAUAAACGGAACAAGACGACUGGGGAUAAAAGCAUCAUAUAGACAACCUAGGACACUGAGUUUUUGUGAGAUGGAAGGUUUCCAUCAGUGCCUGUGCAUUCUGAUGAAAAAACGCAUGACUUAGUCUUGCCUGCUCAAAAAUGUCUGGAAGUGUUUGUGAAAUGGGCAUUGUCAACCUGUCUGCUUGAGCAUUCCCUUCCGUUAGAAAUCCUGGAAGUGUUGUGUGAGCUCUGAUGUGAGUGAUAAAAUAUUCGUGCUCGCUGCUUUCUAGCAAUGUUUUCAUGCUCGCCAGAUAUGAAUAUAAAACUUCGUUGCUGGCCUCUUUCAAAAGCGAACCUUCCAAUCAUCUGACCACACCCACGACAUAUGCAGAAUCUGUGACCAAGUUGAGAGGUUGCUUGAACAACUGAAAUGCUCGGACGACAGCUGCCAAUUCCACAAUUUGUGGAGAACCUUGAACCGUCUUCACAUUUGAGUCCCAUUCCCCUGUUGUUGAGUUCAUCCACGUGAUCACUGACUUGUGCGUCUUCCCUGAGCCAUGAGUGAACACUGUGAUCCUGUCCAGAGGUUCUUCACUUAUUCUUGGCUUUACUCUUGUCCUGGUUUAGGACAAAUUAGGGGAAAUCUCCAAAAGGGAGUCUCCUAAAAAACAAACCUCCAACCACCCCUCCCCCAAUACCAGGUUCGGGAAGGAAUUCCUCGGAGGAGCAAAGUGGAAAAUAAAACCUAUUUAAUGACAAGUAACAAAGGAACACUCCCCAACACAAGAAAAGAAAAAAAAAAGAUACCAGGCAGUGCUGUGGAGGGUGCUGAGCUUCUCUCGCAGACUCCAGGGGGUCCUGGACGUCCCAGGUCAGGUCCGGAGCCGGUACAGUAUCUUCAGGGGAGGGUAAGAAAGAGGGAAUGAAAGAAAAGGAGGAAAAAAAGAACAGCGCAAAAAGCAAGCAAGCCAAGCUAAGCAGCAGCAGCAAGCAAGCUAAAAGCAAAAGCCCAGGUGCCCGGUCACCCUCACCCCCUCCCUCCCCGCCCCGCCACGGCAAGACGGCCGGGGUGGGGGGGGGAGAAAGGCGCAGAUGCCAGACACAACACACGAUAUUGGGAUAAAGGCUGUCACCCCACGACAAGGAGAAUUUCACAUAUUACCAAAGGGCACAAUGUCUUGCAAGGUCAAAUCCUGUAUUGUUUAUGACAACUUUUCGCCUUUCUUUUCAAGCAUAGUCUCAAACUCUAGCAACUCUAAAAUCUGAUAAAUUUUUAAUAUGAUCGGCUCUGACUGCAUACCUUGUCAAUUAAGUAGUGCAGCAAUGUUCCUGUCCUCAUUGAUUCUGGAGUAUCACAGGAUUCUCAGCAAGCAGCUAGUGCAAUGAUCACAAACAUAACCUCACUCUGGAGUGAAAAUUAAGGUGGAAUAAAUUUAAGAGAUCCAUUUCUGUUAAAAUAAAUUUUUGAAAGCUACAUUGGAAUACGUCUACUGCCACAAUGUCUUUUUUGAGCACACAAAUAAACUAGAGCCUGCUUCUAUACCAGGAUACAUUCCUAGCCAGAACCACCGAAGUCUGAAACCUUGUCUGUAUGAAUCCCAAGCUAACAUGAAUAGCUUAGCUUUUCUAGGACUUCACAAAAGUUUUCGGCUGUGUUUUUAUUUAUUUAAUGACACACACACACAAAAUAAAAGCCUGGAACAUGGCAUUAAAGACAAUCUAUAAUUAAGUUGGCUUGACACAACAUGCCAGAAUAAUUCACGUGAUCUGUGGUAUGGUCUUGUUCUCCAGGGCUUCUUGCUAUUCAUGACUACAUACAAUUAGAUUGUGUGGAGUUUGGUCAUGUGUCUGGCUCACUUAGAGGGUAUGUGUUGCUUUGGUGGCUAUUUAACAUGCUGUUUGAUCUCUUUCCAAAAAAAAAGAAAAGAAAAAAAAAAUAGAGUACACUGAGACAUUGCAAUGAGGUGCAUUUAAGACACUAAGAAAUUCCUAGGUCAGGCAUUCCUAGGAGUUGAUGGUUUCUGGAAGAGAGCAGAUCCAGCUGCAAUUAUUCUACCUGCAGUGAGAACUGCUUUACAGGCUUGAACGUGCCUGUUCCCCAGCAGUCCCUGAAGCUUUAGUGUGGGAAGGAGUGGUGUGGCCCAGUAAAGUGAAGGAUCUGAAUGAUAACAAUCAUCUUCCUCUGAGAACAAAGGACAUGGUUGCCUCAGUGAAGGUUUCCAUGUGCUUUCACACAGGUCUCAGGAGGCUCACAUGAUGAUGGUGUUGUUCACCUUUAAAACUGCAAAUCCACCUCUGCAACAAAAGUGGAGAAGGGAUAUUUGGGAGAGCAGAGAGAGGGGUGCUUCCUCUCAAACCACAAGGCUGGUGGAGAUGCUGGAUCCCAGUUAUCAUCUGUUUUGCCUGGUAAUCCUCCUUGCAACACUAAAUGCCCAGGAAAGAAGCCAGGAAAGCUGCAAACAUGUCCUGACACUUCCCAGAAACAGCUUCAGUGCUUUGACCUACCUGAUUCUGUUCUGAGCCAGUGCUGGUAUUUUGCCACAAACAAUGCCAGUUAAAAUACAUUCCAAGCUCUACCACACAGACAAAUGAAGAAAACAAAACAAAACUUUGUGUGAAGUUGUAUCCAUUUCAUGGAAGCUGUUUUUCUCCACCUAAAAAACCCAGAGCAAUCAGAAAGUAUUUCAAAGCUCAAUGAAUAUGUGUUUGCAUACAUGUGACAAAUAUUUUGCAACUGUGUAAUUGUCAGUUGUGGAAAUCAAAAGUGAAAUUCCCAAAGCAAGAUUAUGCCUGAGCUUGAUUUGUCAAAUGUUGGAUUUCAUGGUCUUGGAGCUCUUUUCCAACCUAUGUGAUUCUCUAAUGCUAUGAAUCUAUGCUUUCAUGGCAAAGGAGAGAUGUGCAGCACAGGUCCCCACUCAGUUUGAAGGGCACUCCCAUCACUCUAAGAGUACCCCACGCUCUCUAGAUUGUACCAGCCAAAAUCAGAGGACCCAGUGUCAGACCAGGGCCUUGUUGAUAGGAGACAUUCAUCUUGCAGCAGCUUUCCCCUGCAGCUUUCCCCAGCAGUUCUACCAGCUGUCCUAAUUGUUUAAAAGGAUCAAGUGUGCAGUUAAAAUGGUAUCAGUGAAUUCAAUGAAGAAUUUCAAUUCUUACUCUCCAUCUAAUAAUUCAACACUUGCUUGCAAAACCUUCCAUUGCAAGCUGAGAGCUGCAGUGCAGCCAUGUGCGGUGUCCCUGAUAAAGUCAGCAAGACAAAAGCUCUCUCUGGUGGUGCAUUUCAGUCGGUGCAGUUUCCUUUCCCUUCCAUUCCAAGCAGGCCGAGCAGCUCCGUGCUGUCCCUCCCUUUCCUGAUGGACCCACCCCAAGCUGUACCAGGAUUAGUGGCAGCACCAAACAGGGAGUAGGACAUCGUCCUGCUUGCACAGAGCUGAAUACACCUGGGAUAAGACAAGACAGUACAGAGAGCGAGCUGGAAACUAUAUCUAAAGCUGUGAGGUAAAAUUUCUUGCCACAGCAAAAUAUAAACUGUCUGCAUUUUUAGUCCCAGAGAGAGCUUGGAGCAGCAGCUGUUGUUGCUGGAAGAAUUCUGACCUGGUGAAUGCUCUGGACUUUGAUACAGGAAGCCUGGAUUGAGAUUAUUUUUCUGUUGCAGGGCCUGUUGUUGAUCUGUGGUAUCUCUCUGGACUAAUUGCUGACUUGGUUCCCCCUCUGUAAAAUAAAGACAACCAUCUGCCCACUCCCUCACCUCUCAUUAGCAUUUAGUUUUAUUUAUUAUUUAGCUUACAAGAUCUAUGUGGUAGGACAGGUUUCUUACUGUUUGCCUGUAGUGUCUAACAUAGUGAGGCCAGUCUGGGUCAGAAUAUUAGACUCAAGCCUACCACAAAAAUAGCAAUAUUAUUUGCUAGUGAUAAGAGUAAGUGUUUUUAAUACUUUAAUGAAGUUAACACCUGAAAGAAGAACAUUAUUAGAUUUUUUUUCCAUACUACAUCUCUGUUUACUAAUUAUACCAUAAAUGUUAACAACAAUUCAUGUGUUAAUAUGUGUGUGUGUUGUGUUUUUGUAUUUGAAAUACUGUGGGGUUUUUUGGGGUUCUAUGGGAUUGUUUUACUUUUGUAUGAUUGUUCUGUUAUUCUUAAUCAAGUAUUUCACCCCCCAAAUUGCCCUUUCAAUAAUUAAUUCCAGCAGUUCAAGUCUAAAGGGAAAUGAAGUCAAGUAUCAUGAGGUACAGUGAGACUGCAGAAUCUAGCACUUUCUUC